UACGUAGGGCGCAAGCGUUGUCCGGAAUUAUUGGGCGUAAAGAGCUCGUAGGCGGUUUGUCGCGUCUGCUGUGAAAACCUAAGGCUCAACCUUGGGCUUGCAGUGGGUACGGGCAGACUAGAGUGCGGUAGGGGUGACUGGAAUUCCUGGUGUAGCGGUGGAAUGCGCAGAUAUCAGGAGGAACACCGAUGGCGAAGGCAGGUCACUGGGCCGCAACUGACGCUGGAGGAAGCGAAAGCAUGGGGAGCGAACAGG
rnacentral:rRNA from 1 species